rnacentral:rRNA from 1 species
CACGCCGGAGCCCCGUCCCGUCGGCGCGCGCGCUCGUGCGCGUCGCACGGCCUAACGAACCCCGGCGCGAAAAGCGUCAAGGAACACUGAAAACGCCGCCCGCCCCCGGUGCCCCGUUCGCGGAGUGCACCCGGGGGAUCGGACGCGUGUCGAAAUCAAAACGACUCUCGGCAACGGAUAUCUUGGCUCUCGCAUCGAUGAAGAACGCAGCAAAAUGCGAUACUUGGUGUGAAUUGCAGAAUCCCGUGAACCAUCGAGUUUUUGAAGCAAGUUGCGCCCGAAGCCAUUGUGCCGAGGGCACGUCUGCCUGGGCGUCACGCACAUCGUCGCCCUCCGCCUCGGCCCGUAAAGGGAUCGCGGGCGUUGGGUCGGAUAUUGGCCCCCCGUGCGCUCCGGCGCGCGGCCGGCCCAAAUGUGAUUCGGCACCGACGCGUGCCGCGACGAUUGGUGGUUGAAGAACUCAACUCGCGCGUUGUCGCGGCGUCGUUCGGCUCGAACGUGUUGACCCCGACGGUGCAUAUC